UAUAUUACGUGUUGUGUGAGGUUGGGGAUUGGGUGGGGCCACCAGGGGUAUGUUAGGGAUGGGGAUGUAUAUUACGUGUUGUGUGAGGUUGGGGAUUGGGUGGGGCCACCAGGGGUAUGUUAGGGAUGGGUAUGUAUAUUACGUGUUGUGUGAGGUUGGGGAUUGGGUGGGGCCACCAGGGGUAUGUUAGGGAUGGGUAUGUAUAUUACGUGUUGUGUGAGGUUGGGGAUUGGGUGGGGCCACCAGGGGUAUGUUAGGGAUGGGGAUGUAUAUUACGUGUUGUGUGAGGUUGGGGAUUGGGUGGGGCCACCAGGGGUAUGUUAGGGAUGGGGAUGU